rnacentral:rRNA from 1 species
UACGUAGGUGGCAAGCGUUAUCCGGAAUUAUUGGGCGUAAAGAGCGCGCAGGUGGUUGAUUAAGUCUGACGUGAAAGCCCACGGCUUAACCGUGGAGGGUCAUUGGAAACUGGUCGACUUGAGUGCAGAAGAGGGAAGUGGAAUUCCAUGUGUAGCGGUGAAAUGCGUAGAGAUAUGGAGGAACACCAGUGGCGAAGGCGGCUUCCUGGUCUGUAACUGACACUGAGGCGCGAAAGCGUGGGGAGCAAACAGGAUUAGAUACCCCCGUA